ensembl:snoRNA
ACUGAGGCCUAUCCCAACAGACUCCUCACCGUGGGACCUAGUCAUUGGAAAUGCCUCACAGAACAAGUGGGGUUUCACUUUACCCUCAUGGCUGCUGCCAUUAGCCCUGUGGGAUAUUACUGCAGUACAAAU